GUGCUCGCUUGGGCAGCACAUACACUAAAAUUGGAACCAUACAGAGAAGAUUAGCAUGGCCCCUGUGCAAGGAUGACACGCAAAUUUGUGAAGCAUUACAUAUUUAA